UUUCCGUAGGUGAACCUGCGGAAGGAUCAUUCAUAAUAAGUGUUUUAUGGCACUUUUUUAAAUCCAUAUCCACCUUGUGUGCAAUGUCAGGGUUGAUUUUUCUCUCGAGAGGAUCAACCCCAAACAUCAACUAUAUCUCAACUCAUUGUCUGAAAAAUAUUAUGGAUAAAACAAUUCAAAAUACAACUUUCAACAACGGAUCUCUUGGCUCUC
rnacentral:misc_RNA from 1 species